UGGGAGUGUCAUAUAUCAAUCUGUUGAUUUCAUUGGUUAAGUUAUAAUAAACCAACUGCUUGGCCUCAGCUUGGAACAUAGAUGGGAGGAGUAAACAGAAUAGAAUUCUGGGCGGAAGAGGAAGUGAGGUCAGACUCUGCUCUGCUUCCGGGGACAGACCCGACAGCUCUGCUGGAGCAGAGACGCCAUGCUCAGCUCUCCCAGGCAACUCCAACCCACGAUGGACUUAGGCUAGAAUCUUCCCGGUAAGCGCACCUUGGCGUGCUUACAAACAUUAUUAGAAAUGGGCUAGUCCAGGGGCGAGAAUUAGCCUGUAAGGGUUAGAGUUCAUGGGCCAAGCAGUUCUUUAAAUGAAUACAGUUUGUGUGUUGUUAUUUCGGGCGUGAGCUAGCCAAGCGGCUGGGGUGUUGGGGACGCAGCCCCGCCGCCGCUCCUAUUUCAACAGAUGGCGCCCAGACGUGUGGCUAACUGAAUCCACAAAAAGCCUGAGAAAGCUGGGGAAAGAAUGGAAUGAAGCAUGUUUUCUUGGUAGCAACAAAUUUCUUGGGUCUACUCUGCUUGCUAGAGGCAAGCAAGCGCUCUCAUCUAAGAGAGGCUUCCUGACUCAGCUUCAGCUGCAAAACCCUGCAGCUCAUUAAGAGUUCCUGCCAGGAAACACUUAAACGGUGUUGGUGAAAAGCUGAACGCAUGCUUUUUGGUUUUCAGCCGUAGCAGGAAAAAAGUUGUGCUGUUUUAAAAUACCGGCUUUCUGGGCCGUCCUGCCAGGGCAAACUCUGACUGAGGCAGGAGGUCCAGCUACAGAGAGAGGACUUGACUGUUGUCUGUUGUAGCUCGCUUGCUGGCAGGGACCUUGAAACGCCAUAGAAUUGUGCCUAUAAACGCGGCUACAGCCUGUAUCUCCGCCAUGAGGCUGGAAAGCUAAGGAAUGGACUGGAUCUAGCUGGCAAAGCCACGGCUUUAAUCCUACUCAUAUUGCUCAGUAAUUUAAAGGCUCCUGUGGUCAGAAAAACAGAGAGAGAUACAGUAAAGAGAUUCAAAGAUAAAGAAAAUGUUUAAAUGAUUUACAGUGUGUUAAAAAUAUAUGCAAGCUAAAAGUUAAAAGUUCUUAAAAAAAAGUAAGAAAAAGAGAAGUUGUGUGUGGUAGUACACGCCUUUAAUCCCAGUGCCUAGAAGGCAGAGACAAACAGAUCUCUGUGAGUUCAAGGUGUGGUAGCAAACACCUUUAAUCCCAAUGCCUGGGAGGCAGAGACAGGCAGAUCUCUGAGAGUUCAAGGACAGCCUGGUCUACAGAGUUAUUCCAGGACAGAGAUACAGAGAAUAUAAAAUGAAAGUAAAAAUAAACUUAAUAGAGGUUAAAAUAAAGCUCACAAAGAUGGAAAAUACACAGAGAAUCUUGAUACUGUAUGCUAUUAUGCUCUCUUUGAAUUGUUUGAAUGCUGAGGAAGGAGCAACAGAUGCUAAAAGAUAUUUGUUUAUAAAUGCUGCUGAACUAAUCCAACGUAGAGAUUUUAAUGCCUUGGCUUUGAUAUUUGGAUCUAAGGACGUGAUGCUUUCAAAAGGAGUUUCUUAUUUUGUUUUCACAGAGGAUGAGACCCUGUUCAUUUCUUCUAUUCCGAUAUGGUAUGAUGGACCACGCCCUCCUGAACGGUUGCUGUGAAUACCUUCAAAAAAUUGCUUCGCUCAACUUCCAACUGAGAUGAAACUAGCACACAGGUUAUACCACAAAAGACCUAAUUAACAGCGCCCCCAUUCAGCAGGAAGCAGUUUGGAGAGAAAAAACUACGCCCAUGUUCCCAAAUAUUGUUUACAAAUGUUCUUUUACAUUUAAAGGGGGAUAUGAUAUAGAUAUGAAUAAUUUGCAUUGGUAUGGAUUUUAAGGUCAAUUUUGUUAUAUGUAUAUGUAUUUUUGAUCUUGAUUAAGGUAUUGUGAUUGUGUAGUUCAUUUAAAAAUGUAAUGUAUAAUUAGGAAAUAUAGGUUGUUAAUGGAUAAUCAUCGCUAAUAGUUAAGCUUGUAGUCAUGUUAAUUAGAUUUUCUAGAUAUAUAGAGAUAUAUUUCAGUUAGAUAGGCAUUCUUCAUAUCUUUCAAAGACUGCAGAAUAUGGCAUUUAAAAUAUUUUAAUAACUUAGGACUUUUCAUGACAAGGAGACACGUCUGCUCCUGGCAGCACCAGCUACUUCAAGAGGAAGAUGGGCAUCGAAGAGGAUCCUUAUGGAGUUGGAUAGUCAUUUGGGCAAGAAACUGCUCUUGCCUGGACUGUUGCAUAAACUGGACACAGAGAACCCUCAGAGAGAGGACUGCUGAACUUGCCUAAAGGUGAGAUGGUCUUUCGGGGUUCCUGAUUCAUGAAAGAGUCUGCGAGACAUUCUGCAGGACACAGCAGAAAAUGACUGAACUGUCUUUGAAAUUUCCUGCUUCAUGGAAAUGUAUCUGGAUACCAUGGGCCUGUAGGCCGAAGAUGGAUGCCCCAACGGUACCAAAGAACUUUGGGUGACUGUCCAGGCAGCGAGAUGUCUCUGUCAUUUCUAGAGUUUUCUUACUCAAGUAUUAUUAUAUCCUUCUGGAGUCUUUGAUGGAGUUGAAGAAUGAAUAGUUAUAAUUUUCCUUAGUUAUGAUAAGAGAUAAAAUAGAUAUAAAUAUUGUAACUGUAAUUCUUACUUGAUAACUGUUUUGUUAUAUGUAAUUUUACUAUGUUAAAGUUAAAGCCUUUCUUUUUUGUUUAAACAGAAAAAGGGGAAAUGAUGUGGGAAUGGUUUCUUAUUAAUAAAGAAACUGCCUUGGCCCA